UUGGGGAUAACGGUAAGGCUUAACAUUAACUGCCUUAGAAUUCUCUUCUAAAUAAAUUCUAUAUAUGUUCCUUAUCACGUUUUGGAGGUAGCUGGUCAGGCUCCUUAAACACCUCUGCAAAUUCUGAUAGUAAGUUUCCCACAGCUUGUGACAUAAUUUGAACUCCCAACCCAACUAUUUCUUUGCCUUUAUCAUUGCAAAGAUUAAAUGAACAUAAGAAGGCUUCCUCAGAUCCAGCAACUAAUCUUUUCAACUCCCCUCCCGAUAAUGGGCUUUCAUCUAGCCAAUUAUUGCCCAUCCACCUAAUUGUAGACCCUUGAUCUUGAAAUUCCAUAGAAGCUACAGAAUAAUCUGUAGUAAUUGGACCCAAUGUUUUUAGCUAUUGAAUACCGAAAACUACAUUUGCUUCCGCCAUCGGUAAUAUAAACAGAUCUACUUUGAAUUUGUGAUUUUGGACUUUAAGUUCU
rnacentral:lncRNA from 1 species